GGAUCAUUGUCGAAAUCGAACGGAAGAACGACCCGCGAAUCGUCAUUGCGUAGUAGACAGAGCCCGUGAGCACCUAACGCUCAYGGGUCUCGCGUCGCGUCGGCGCGGGUGUACUCGAGACCCGCGUCGUACCGGCGGACAAACAACGUCAGCACGGAUCGUGCCAAGGAGCUGCAUGGAGAGAAUCGUCGUCCCCCGCCUUUGAUAGUCCUCGACGCGGGACGGGGGAUGUACGCMAUCUCUACUCAAAAGUCUAAACGACUCUCGGCAACGGAUAUCUCGGCUUUUGCAUCGAUGAAGAAAGCAGCGAAAUGCGAUACUUGGUGUGAAUUGCAGAAUCCCGUGAACCAUCAAUUCUUUGAACGCAAGUUGCGCCCGAAGCCAUUCGGCCGAGGGCACGCCUGCCUGGGCGUCGUGAAUCCCCUUGCCCCUAGGCACCCGCACGAGCAUCGGCGGGGACAUAUCCUCGGGCGCAGAAUAUGGUCUCCCGUGGGAUCGGCAUGCACGGCAUGACGAGGUGCGGUUGGCCGAAAAUCGAGCAUGGCGGUGACGGGCACCACGGCGUUCGGUGGAUCGAAUGAGAUUGGCUGCGUCGUGGGCUCGGCAUGCGGCGGGCUCCGGACUUUGAAUAUCCCCGAGUGCGAUCCCAGGUCAGGCGGGGCUACCCGCUGAGUUUAAGCAUAUCAAUAAGCGGAGGAAAAGAAACUAACGAGGAUUCCCUUAGUAGCGGC
rnacentral:rRNA from 1 species